CGGGGUGUGGCGCAGUUGGCUAGCGCGCGCGCUUUGGGAGCGCGAGGUCGGAGGUUCAAGUCCUCUCACCCCGACCA
rnacentral:tRNA from 1 species